rnacentral:rRNA from 1 species
AACGAACGCUGGCGGCAUGCCUAACACAUGCAAGUCGAACGAGACCUUCGGGUCUAGUGGCGCACGGGUGCGUAACGCGUGGGAACCUGCCCUUAGGUUCGGAAUAACUCCCCGAAAGGGGUGCUAAUACCGGAUAAGGUCUUCGGACCAAAGAUUUAUCGCCUGGGGAUGGGCUCGCGUUGGAUUAGCUUGUUGGUAGGGUAGAAGCCGACCAAGGCGACGAUGGGUAGCUGGUCUGAGAGGAUGAUCGGCCACACUGGGACUGAGAUACGGACCAGACUCCUACGGGAGGCAGCAGUGGGGAAUAGUGCACAAGGGGCGGAAGCCUGAUGCAGCAACGCCGCGUGCGGGAUGACGGCCUUCGGGUUGUAAACCGCUUUCGCCUGUGACGAAGCGUGAGUGACGGUAAUGGGUAAAGAAGCACCGGCUAACUACGUG